rnacentral:lncRNA from 1 species
GCAGUUCUUGAGUUCCACAUGCAGAGCAGAUGCGACAGCUAGAAGUGAGUAGGGCCCAGACCCUGGCCCAGGAAGAUCCACUAAAGGAGGCCAUCCUUCCGCCUUCUUCUGCAGGAGUCAGGGGGCGUGUAAAGGUGAUUUGUUCGCCAAGAAAAGCACUUUUAGUAAAGCACAGAUGUUAAUCUAGAUCAUGGAAAAGUGCCACACACUAGAUUUAGCACAUAAGCAAGGAGUCUCUAGAACACUCAGAAGAAAAUGAAUGAAUCCAUGAAUGAAUGGACAAGUGAGAGCCCAGAGCAGCUGAAGCCAUGAAGUGCUUUGGAAAGAGAAGCGUGCCUGGGAAAAGAGAGUGGCUGAGUGCUAAGAGCAGGGUGAACACCAUGGAAAACUUGAAAUUGAAAACAUCACAAUUUUAAUGAGAAAAAGCGCAACCCAAAGUGAAGAGCACCAUUAUAACAAAGGUCAUGCAGGCUGAGUGAAUUAUCCUAAACAAAUGAUGGAAAGGCAGAUGUAAAGUCCCUCAUGGCGAAAUAUAACACGGGGGGCAACCCGACAGAGGAUGUCUCAGUCAAUAGCCGACCCUUCAGAG